rnacentral:piRNA from 1 species
UCCAAAGUAUGCAAAGAAAUGUGCCAUCUC